rnacentral:rRNA from 1 species
AGUGAACGCUGGCGGUAUGCCUAACACAUGCAAGUCGAACGGCAGCACAUUAAUAGCUUUCUCUUACGGGUGUCGAGUGGCGGACGGGGGGGGAAUACAUCGUAAUCUACUUUUUCGUAGGUGGUAACUUAGCGAAACUUACGCUAAUACCUCAUACGACCUACUGCUGAAAGCAGGCUAUCUUCGGACCUUGCUCUAUUGAAUGAGGCGAUGGCGUAUUAGCUAGUUGGCGGGGUAAAGGCCCACUAAGCCGACGAUCCGUAGCGGGUAUGAGAGGAUGAGCGGCGACAGUGGAAUUGAGACACGGUCAAGACUCAUACGGGAGGGAGAAGUGGGGAAGAUUGGAAAAUGGGAGCAAGCGUGAUCCAGACGUACCGAGGGGGUGAAGAAGGCCUUGGGGUUGUAAAGCCAUUUUGUUGGGAAAGAAGAGCAGCAGGUUAAUACGCCGCUGUUCUGACGGUACCCAAAGAAUAAGCACCGGCUAACUUCGUG